AGAGUUUGAUCAUGGCUCAGAGCGAACGCUGGCGGCAGGCCUAAUACAUGCAAGUCGAGCGCCCUUUCGGGGGAGCGGCGGACGGGUGAGUAACGCGUGGGAAUAUGCCCUUUGGUACGGAACAACUGAGGGAAACUUCAGCUAAUACCGUAUGUGCCCUUCGGGGGAAAGAUUUAUCGCCAUUGGAGUAGCCCGCGUUGGAUUAGCUAGUUGGUGGGGUAAAGGCCCACCAAGGCGACGAUCCAUAGCUGGUCUGAGAGGAUGAUCAGCCACACUGGGACUGAGACACGGCCCAGACUCCUACGGGAGGCAGCAGUAGGGAAUCUUGCGCAAUGGGCGAAAGCCUGACGCAGCCAUGCCGCGUGAAUGAUGAAGGUCUUAGGAUUGUAAAAUUCUUUCACCGGGGAAGAUAAUGACGGUACCCGGAGAAGAAGCCCCGGCUAACUUCGUGCCAGCAGCCGCGGUAAUACGAAGGGGGCUAGCGUUGCUCGGAAUUACUGGGCGUAAAGGGCGCGUAGGCGGACAGUUUAGUCAGAGGUGAAAGCCCAGGGCUCAACCUUGGAAUUGCCUUUGAUACUGGCUGUCUUGAGUUCGGGAGAGGUGAGUGGAAUGCCGAGUGUAGAGGUGAAAUUCGUAGAUAUUCGGCGGAACACCAGUGGCGAAGGCGACUCACUGGCCCGAUACUGACGCUGAGGCGCGA
rnacentral:rRNA from 1 species